GGCGAACGGGUGAGUAACACGUGGGUGAUCUGCCCUGCACUCUGGGAUAAGCCUGGGAAACUGGGUCUAAUACCGGAUAGGAGCCAUCUUUAGUGUGGUGGUUGGAAAGUUUUUCGGUGUAGGAUGAGCUCGCGGCCUAUCAGCUUGUUGGUGGGGUAAUGGCCUACCAAGGCGGCGACGGGUAGCCGGCCUGAGAGGGUGUACGGCCACAUUGGGACUGAGAUACGGCCCAG
rnacentral:rRNA from 1 species